UCAAACACCACUUCCCAUAUGAUUACCAAGGUUAAGCAACAUCGAGCCUGGUCAGUACUCUGAUGGGUGACCACUUAGGAAUACCAGGUGCUGUAAG